GGAGGAAAGCAGGGGAUCGCAAGACCUUGCGCUUUUGGAGCGGCCGAUGCCUGAUUAGCUUGUUGGUGAGGUAAAAGCUCACCAAGGCUCCGAUCAGUAGCUGGUCUGAGAGGACGACCAGCCACACUGGGACUGAGACACGGCCCAGACUCCUACGGGAGGCAGCAGUGGGGAAUUUUGGACAAUGGGGGCAACCCUGAUCCAGCCAUGCCGCGUGAGUGAAGAAGGCCUUCGGGUUGUAAAGCUCUUUCAGCCGGAACGAAACGGUCACGGUUAAUACCCGUGACUACUGACGGUACCGGAAGAAGAAGCACCGGCUAACUACGUGCCAGCAGCCGCGGUAAUACGUAGGGUGCGAGCGUUAAUCGGAAUUACUGGGCGUAAAGCGUGCGCAGGCGGUUUUGUAAGUCAGAUGUGAAAUCCCCGGGCUUAACCUGGGAACUGCGUUUGAAACUACAAAGCUAG
rnacentral:rRNA from 1 species